rnacentral:rRNA from 1 species
ACAGGUGCUGCAUGGCUGUCGUCAGCUCGUGUCGUGAGGUGUUGGGUUUAAGUCCCGUAACGAGCGCAACCCUUGUCCUUAGUUACCAGCACGUUAUGGUGGGCACUCUAAGGAGACUGCCGGUGGACAAACCGGAGGAAGGUGGGGAUGACGUCAAGUCAUCAUGGCCCUUACGGCCUGGGCUACACACGUGCUACAAUGGUCGGGUACAAAGGGUUGCCAAGCCGCGAGGUGGAGCUAAAUCCCAUAAAACCGAUCGUAGUCCGGAUCGCAGUCUGCAACUCGACUGCGUGAAGUCGGAAUCGCUAGUAAUCGUGAAUCAGAAUGUCACGGUGAAUACGUUCCCGGGCCUU